rnacentral:lncRNA from 1 species
CCAAGGUUAGAAAGUGAGAAUGUGAUGUUAUGAGUGGAAAAAGAGUGAGACUUUGAGAGUUGGAAGGCUAAGUCUGAAUUCUGUGGUAAAUGGAGGUUAGAGUGAGUUAAUACUAGCUUGAAAUGUCAUUUAGAACAUGUGAGAAAGGUUAGGCUGAGCUAGAGAGAAAAACAAAUGACCAAAGUGAACAAAGAGCCAUUGCUAGGGCAAAUUUGGGUGUUGAAGAGUCAAAUUUUGAUUUGGUGGAAUUUUAGGUGUAAAUUCAGUUUGAGCAAGUUUAGAUUGAUGUUAUGGACUUGUGUGAGGUGAGAGUUUGCUUCAAAUUUACCUCAUUCUAAAUUUCACUUUUCAAACCUAGAAAACCCAUUGAUUUGAGGGGUUUUGGACACCUAGAUUUUGUGUUGCUGUGGUUUGAAGCUUGGCUCUGGUUUAGACAUGUUUGAUACAUGAUUUGGGACUUGUAGGAUUUGAUUUGAGCAAGAUUGGAUGAGGGGAAGUGUGAUUUUCGAAAUCUGCACUUAUGCAGAAUUUUGCUGUCAAAAUAGGUGCAGCAGAAUUUUAGCUUGGUGCAGAAAAUGCUUGUGUGUGGUAGGCUGUGGAAAGAGUAGUACAGAAUGAGUUCUGGAUGUUUGCUAGUCGAUCCCAACGGUCACAAUGUAGGCUUAUGCACUAUAGACUUCCAGUAAAAUUUUGGAGUCGAUCCAACGGUUAACGAAUUGGAUCGAAGGAAUUGUUACUGGGGUCUUUAAGUGAGAAAAGCUGUGAUUUUGGUUGAUGUGUUGAGCAGAGUUUCUGCCUUUGCUCUGUUUUGCUUGGCUGUGAUAGCUUGUGCUGUUUGAAUGUUGUUUUGCUUGGAUGUUGUGGAAGCUUGAGAGGAUUGAUGGGGACCCGGUGUUGAGAGAAACGAGGAUAUGGGCUACGUGGGAGUACGUGAGCUCAGAUGGAGGUGGGCAACAGGGGAUGGUGGGUUUAUGCGCGCUUUGUGGAUGUGAAAAACUUGUUGUGCACCAUCGCCCGACCGCCACCUAGUACCACCUGUGAUGGGUACUCCAUAAUCCUACAAGCUUGAGAUGAGGAAGUGUUGAAGGGUGAAACUUCCUGCUUUUAUUGUUGACCACAGAGUGGUACCUGGAGAUAUGUCGCGGGGGUCAGGAGACCUUGGGGACGUCAGGUGGGGUGCUAUUGCCCAAAACCAAGCUUGACCAAUCCCGACCCAACCCGGGCAUAGUCGGUCAGUGAGAACCUGUGAUGUACCUAAGCAGGCGAGCUCCUGGCAGUCAACAGAUAAAAGGAAAACAAGACCACAAAGCAAGGAGGCUUGUGGUGGCUGGCCAGCUGUGAAUUUUGUGUAAUAUGUGGAUUGUGGCCUCUGGUAAUCGAUUACCAAGGGUGGGUAAUCGAUUACAAGGCUUAAAAUGGAGGACAGGAGGCUAAGAUGGUCUCUGGUAAUCGAUUACCAAGGGGUGUAAUCGAUUACCAGGCUUGAAAACGAAGUCAGGAAACUUAGGGAGUCUCUGGUAAUCGAUUACCGGCCUGUGUAAUCGAUUACACAGAGGAAUGGGUCACUGGUAAUCGAUUACCAGGCAUGUGUAAUCGAUUACACAGUGUAUUAUUGCAUAUUUCAUGUCCUGAGGCUGUGUAAUUCAAGUUUAGCCUCUGGUAAUCGAUUACCAAGGUUGUGUAAUCGAUUACCAGAGAUGAAAAGCCUUAAGAUACUCCUUUUAACGUCAUGUAGUGUUUAUGAGACGCAUCGUGU